rnacentral:lncRNA from 1 species
GGUGCAGGCUGUGCCAGCGGACAGAGCACGACCCCGACAUCUAUGGAGAGAUGUACCAUCAAGAGAGGCUCUGAAUCUAUGAGAACUGCCUGGUGAGCCCCAACCCCAGGCCCCCAGCCCUGUGCCAGCCGCUGCACCCCACAUGCAGUAACAGGUCCCUGUUGCCUCCUGCAGUACCACGCCAGCGGGCUGUACCAGCGCGGUGCUGACGAGGAAGGAUUCUUCGGAUUCCUCUUCCCCAGCGUUGAGCAGGAGCUGCAGCGCGUGGCACAGAAGGUGAACAGGGCGCCGUGUCCCCACCUCGGUCCCUGUGCCACAUGGCUGGGAGACGCCAGCAGAGCCCUGGCUGUCCGAAAAGUCCCAUCGCUGCACAAAUCAGAAUUGAUCAGUGCUGCGGGGUCCCUAGCUACAUGGCCCACCAGAUGAUCACCGUGCUCUGCUGGGCAAGGCUCACCUGUGGGUGCACAGCACUGACGCCCAGCACCGCACUGCUGUCCCCAGAAAUGCUGCGUCUGCCGGAAGCAGGGCGCCUCGGUGCGCUGCCAUUGCCGCAGAUGCUCCCGCACCUUCCACUACCCCUGCGGGAGAGAACGCGGCUGUGUCUCCCAGUUCUUCGGGGAGUACAGGUCCUUCUGCUGGCAGCACCGUCCGACGCAGCAGGUGAAGCCGCUGCAACGGGAACAGCCCCAGUGCGCCAUCUGCUUGGAGGCGGUGGAGGGACGCCCCAGCUACACCACCCUCAUCUGUCCCUCCUGCACCAGCGUGCAGUUCCACCGCCACUGCAUGCAGGUAGGCAGCAUUGCCUCCAGACCACAACAGCAUCGUCACCCAACCCUGCCGCCCUGGCAUCAUCCCCGGCUCUGGGGCAACGCGCGCGGACCCCCAGCUCACGUUCUGCCUUCCCCAGGGCCAAGCUCUGCGCGCUGCCCUGCACCACUUCUGCUGCCCGCUCUGCCAGGACAUGCAGGCCUUCAAGGCAGAGAUGUUUUGCCUCAGCAUCAAAAUCCCAGACAGGUCAGCACCCCCCAUGCCACCACCUCCUCUUGCACCGCGCUCAGCUGUCCCCGGCUCCCUCCCACAGGGAUGCAGCCUGGGAGGUGGAAGAGGGCGCCUUCCACAACCUGUACCAGCGGCACAGCUCCUGUGACACCGACCUGUGCCUGUGCCCGAUAGGACGGGACUAUUCUGAGAACACGGGGUGAGCGUGCUCCGACACAAAAGCCAUGGUGACCUGGUGCUUUCAUCCCCUCCUUCCAGCUGGGAUGGAGGCUGGCCAGGAUGCUGAGCUCAGCACGGCACAAGCUGUGCGC